rnacentral:lncRNA from 1 species
CGUCAUUCUCCUGCGUCAGCCUCCCGAGUAGCUGGGACUGCAGGCGCCCGCCACCAUGCCUGGCUAAUUUUUUGUAUGUUUAGUAGAGACGGGGUUUCACCGUGUUAGCCAGGAUGGUCUCUAUCUCCUGACCUUGUGAUCUGCCUGCCUCGGCCUCCCGAAGUGCCGGGAUUACAAGCGUGAGCCACCAUUCCCGGCCCAAAGAGGAGAAGAAGUAUGAAGUGCUUGCUUGGACCUUUCUACUGUGCUUAUUAUUCUGUCUUCUCCUCAUGGCAAAAGCUGACAAACGGUUUAUAUCAGAAGGUGGAAUCGUGGGUAUGGUCGAUGUGGCAGGUCCUAAACAUAAAUUGGAAACAUAGCAUCUCAGAUCCAGAAG